rnacentral:rRNA from 1 species
AACGCGAAGAACCUUACCUACCUUUGACAUCCUCAGAAUUUGCAAGAGAUUGCGAAGUGCCGAAAGGAACUGAGAGACAGGUGCUGCAUGGCUGUCGUCAGCUCGUGUCGUGAGAUGUUGGGUUAAGUCCCGUAACGAGCGCAACCCCUGUAUUUAAUUGCCAUCAGGUAAAGCUGGGUACAUUAAAUAGACUGCCGGUGAUAAACCGGAGGAAGGUGGGGAUGACGUCAAGUCCUCAUGGCCCUUAUAGGUAGGGCUACACACGUGCUACAAUGGUCAGUACAGAGGGAAGCGAAGUCGCGAGAUGGAGCAAAGCUCACAAAAACUGAUCGUAGUCCGGAUUGGAGUCUGCAACUCGACUCCAUGAAGCUGGAAUCGCUAGUAAUCGCGGAUCAGAACGCUGCGGUGAAUACGUUCCCGGGCCUUGUACACACCGGACACGC